CCCUUCAAGGAGUCCGAAAUUGUCUCCCACAUCCUAGUAGGGUUGGGCAAAGAUUAUGAUCCUUUGGUGAUAUCCAUUACCACCCAGGUCAAUCCCAUCUCUAUGGAUGAUCUCUAUGGGCAUUUAUUGAGCCAUAAGC